rnacentral:lncRNA from 1 species
CCCUUACCCUUCCCCCUUCCCCACUUAUUUGACACCCUAACGUUCAACUCUUGCAAUGCUGAUGUGUAAAAUUAUAUAUUGUUUCAGACGUAUAUCUAUUGUCUGGUUAGAGAGUCGCCGAGUGAGACACCUCUAGACCGACUGAAAAAUACGUUUAGAAGAUACAAUUUGAAUUUUGGGGAUGAAGAUAGUCCAUUCUGCACAAGAUUGUCAGCGAUCAAAGGGGAUGUUACUUUAGAGAAUUUUGGACUCAUGGAAGACGAUUAUCAUGCUCUCUGUUAUGACAUCGAUGUUGUCAUUCACGCUGCUGCAACUGUUAACUUAGCAUUUCCCUACCAUGCAUUGUACAGAUCCAACGUCGUUGGAACCCGAAAUGUGAUAUCUUUUGUCACACACAGUAAAAUUAAACCGCUUCAUUACAUUAGCACUAGUGAUGUGUUUCCGUCCAAUUUAAGUAAGUGUAAUGAGGAUAGCGAUAUGUCCGAAUUUGCCGAAGCUCUUGAGAGUGGAUAUUCGCAAAGUAAAUGGGUCGCAGAAAAAUCUGUCACUUCUGCCAAUCAUCUCGGAGCACCCUGCGUCAUUUACAGAUGCGGCAAUAUUGCAGGUCCGCGUGACUGGCCUGCUUGGAAUAAGCAGGAUCUCACACUGUUGAUCUUGCAAGGAGUUCUCAGCACUGGGUAUGCACCAGACGCCUCUUGGCCGAUAGAGUUGACGCCUGUUGAAUUUGUCUCUAAAUUUAUUGUGUCAUCUUUAACUAACUUAGAGAGGACAAACGGUGAAAUUUUUCAUUUGGUGAAUGACCAUUCUUACCGUUCUAGGAACUUAUGGGCUCUUUUAAGUGACUUUGGAUAUUCAAUCAAAACUACAACUUUUUCGGAUUGGUCUCUCAGAGUGAAGAGGCAAGCACUUGUAUGUCCCAGUUUGAAACCGUUGUGCUACUUACUGGAAUCAGCGUUAAAAGACGGCAAAAGUUUGAAGGAUCAGAGCCUAUUCGAUAGGUCAAACACGAAUAGAUUCUUGGAUGAUCUAACUUAA